GGACCCAUGGAUGAAGGACCAGAUCUUGAUUUAGGCCCACCUGUAGAUCCAGAUGAAGACUCUGACAACAGUGCCAUUUACGUGCAAGGACUGAGUGACAGUGUGACUCUCGAUGAUCUGGUCGACUUCUUUAAGCAGUGUGGAGGCGUUAAGAUGAACAAGAGGACUGGACAACCCAUGAUCCAUAUUUACUAGGACAAGGAAACAGGAAAGCCCAAAGGCGAUGCUACAGUGUCUUAUGAAGACCCACCAACUGCCAAAACUGCCGUCGAGUGGUUUGAUGGCAAAGAUUUCCAAGGGAGCAAACUUAAAGUGUCUCUUGCUCGGAAGAAGCCGCCCAUGAACAGCAUGCGGGGCGGGAUGCCGCCGCGCGAGGACAGGGGGAUGCCGCCGCUGCUCCGAGGAGGUCCAGGGGGCCCAGGAGGUCCUGGAGGACCCAUGGGGCGCAUGGGAGGCCGUGGAGGAGACAGAGGCGGCUUCCCACCAAGGGGGCCCGGCGGUUCCCGGGGGAACCCGUCUGGAGGAGGAAACGUCCAGCACCGAGCUGGAGACUGGCAGUGCCCCAACCCGGGCUGUGGAAACCAGAACUUCGCCUGGAGAACAGAGUGCAACCAGUGUAAGGCCCCAAAGCCUGAAGGCUUCCUCCCACCACCUUUCCCGCCCCCGGGCAAUGACCGCGGCAGAGGUGGCCCUGGAGGCAUGCGGGGAGGAAGAGGUGGCCUCAUGGACCGCGGGGGUCCCGGUGGAAUGUUCAGAGGCGGCCGUGGUGGAGACAGAGGUGGCUUCCGUGGCGGCCGGGGCAUGGACCGCGGUGGCUUUGGUGGUGGAAGACGAGGUGGCCCUGGGGGACCCCCUGGACCACUGAUGGAACACAUGGGAGGACGGCGAGGCGGGCGAGGAGGACCUGGAAAGAUGGAUAAAGGCGAGCACCGUCAGGAGCGCAGAGACCGGCCCUACUAGACGCAGAGACCCGCAGAGCUGCAUUGACUACCAGAUUUAUUUUUUAAACCAGAAAAUGUUUUAAAUUUAUAAUUCCAUAUUUAUAAUGUUGGCCACAACAUUAUGAUUAUUCCUUGUCUGUACUUUAGUAUUUUUUCACCAUUUGUGAAGAAACAUUAAAACAAGUUAAAUGGUA